CCUUCCAACUCCAAAGACCAAACGACAAAUCCCAAUUCCCAAAUCAAGAAAACUAGGGGUCUUCUCUGCCUCUGUUUAUCGACAAUCACUACUAGUCUGCUACCACAAUCUGUUGGACGUCCUCCAAUUCUCUGCUGUGGUUGUCCCACAUUUUGACCUCUAUUCUUUUGGUCAAUUUGUGCUUUUGUAUUUUCCAAAAGCUCAAACCUGGAAUCCCUGACAAACCGGUAGACAAGAUUUCGAUGCCGGACCUGAUGAGUACCUUGAGGUAGUUGCCUUCAGUUCAGGGAGACCAAGGUAGAUUUGCUGGCGUCCGCAGAGCCUGAAGUCGCCCUUCCCCGUUUUAGAUUUUUGCUGUCUCUUCACUUUGAGAACAAUUGUACUUUUCUUUCUAAACCAGUGUUUGUAGAAAUUCGUAGAUGUUCGUGAAAUUGUGACACCAGAUCCUUGGGUAGACAUGUAUUGGAGUAUUUUGAAUUGUUAUAACUUUUCCGCACUUUA